GACGAACGCUGGCGGCGUGCCUAUUACAUGCAAGUUGAGCGCUGAAGGUUGGUACUUGUACCAACUGGAUGAGCAGCGAACGGGUGAGUAACGCGUGGGGAAUCUGCCUUUGAGCGGGGGACAACAUUUGGAAACGAAUGCUAAUACCGCAUAAAAACUUUAAACACAAGUUUUAAGUUUGAAAGAUGCAAUUGCAUCACUCAAAGAUGAUCCCGCGUUGUAUUAGCUAGUUGGUGAGGUAAAGGCUCACCAAGGCGAUGAUACAUAGCCGACCUGAGAGGGUGAUCGGCCACAUUGGGACUGAGACACGGCCCAAACUCCUACGGGAGGCAGCAGUAGGGAAUCUUCGGCAAUGGACGAAAGUCUGACCGAGCAACGCCGCGUGAGUGAAGAAGGGUUUCGGAUCGUAAAACUCUGUUGGUAGAGAAGAACGUUGGUGAGAGUGGAAAGCUCAUCAAGUGACGGUAACUACCCAGAAAGGGACGGCUAACUACGUG
rnacentral:rRNA from 1 species